rnacentral:rRNA from 1 species
UACGUAGGCAGCGAGCGUUGUUCGGAAUUACUGGGCGUAAAGCGCACGUAGGCGGGUUGUUAAGUCAGGGGUGAAAUCCUGGAGCUCAACUCCAGAACUGCCUUUGAUACUGAAGAUCUUGAGUUCGGGAGAGGUGAGUGGAACUGCGAGUGUAGAGGUGAAAUUCGUAGAUAUUCGCAAGAACACCAGUGGCGAAGGCGGCUCACUGGCCCGAUACUGACGCUGAGGCACGAAAGCGUGGGGAGCAAACAGG